GGCCGGUUAGCUCAGUCGGUUAGAGCGUGGUGCUAAUACAGAGGGUAUUAGUCUGGUACGCCAAGGUCGAGAGUUCGACCCUCUCACUGGUCA